CGGACGGGUGAGUAACACGUGGGAACGUGCCUUUAGGUUCGGAAUAACUCAGGGAAACUUGUGCUAAUACCGAAUGUGCCCUUCGGGGGAAAGAUUUAUCGCCUUUAGAGCGGCCCGCGUCUGAUUAGCUAGUUGGUGAGGUAAAGGCUCACCAAGGCGACGAUCAGUAGCUGGUCUGAGAGGAUGAUCAGCCACAUUGGGACUGAGACACGGCCCAAACUCCUACGGGAGGCAGCAGUGGGGAAUCUUGCGCAAUGGGCGAAAGCCUGACGCAGCCAUGCCGCGUGAAUGAUGAAGGUCUUAGGAUUGUAAAAUUCUUUCAGUAGGGACGAUAAUGACGGUACCUACAGAAGAAGCCCCGGCUAACUUCGUGCCAGCAGCCGCGGUAAUACGAAGGGGGCUAGCGUUGCUCGGAAUUACUGGGCGUAAAGGGAGCGUAGGCGGACAUUUAAGUCAGGGGUGAAAUCCCGGGGCUCAACCUCGGAAUUGCCUUUGAUACUGGGUGUCUUGAGUGUGAGAGAGGUAUGUGGAACUCCGAGUGUAGAGGUGAAAUUCGUAGAUAUUCGGAAGAACACCA
rnacentral:rRNA from 1 species